CGCUGUCACUCCUACGGGAGGCAGCAGUGGGGAAUAUUGCACAAUGGGGGAAACCCUGAUGCAGCCAUGCCGCGUGUGUGAAGAAGGCCUUCGGGUUGUAAAGCACUUUCAGUAGGGAGGAAGGUAGUGUAGUUAACACCUGCACUAUUUGACGUUACCUACAGAAGAAGCACCGGCUAACUCCGUGCCAGCAGCCGCGGUAAUACGGAGGGUGCGAGCGUUAAUCGGAAUUACUGGGCGUAAAGCGCAUGCAGGCGGCCUGUUAAGUCAGAUGUGAAAGCCCGGGGCUUAACCUCGGAAUUGCAUUUGAAACUGGCAGGCUAGAGUCUUGUAGAGGGGGUAGAAUUUCAGGUGUAGCGGUGAAAAUGCGUAGAGAUCUGAAGGAAUACCAGUGGCGAAGGCGGCCCCCUGGACAAAGACUGACGCUCAGAUGCGAAAGCGUGGGGAGCAAACAGGAUUAGAUACCCCUGGUAG
rnacentral:rRNA from 1 species